UACGUAGGGGGCAAGCGUUGUCCGGAUUUAUUGGGCGUAAAAGGCUUGUAGGUGGCCACGCCAAGUCGGAUGUGAAAUCUCCCGGCUCAACUGGGAGGGGUCAUUCGAUACUGGCGGGCUCGAGGCCGGUAGGGGGAAGUGGAAUUCCCGGUGUAGUGGUGGAAUGCGUAGAUAUCGGGAGGAACACCAGUGGCGAAGGCAGGUCUCUGGGCCACUACUGACGCUGAGAAGCGAAAGCAUGGGGAGCGAACAGG
rnacentral:rRNA from 1 species